rnacentral:tRNA from 1 species
ACCCAGCUAGGUCAGUCAGUAGAACAUGAGACUCUUAAUCUCAGGGUGGUGGGUUCGAGCCCCACAUUGGGCG